AACCACUAACCGGACAUGUUGUCACAAGGAGAGUUUUCGUUGACUUGUAUAUUCUGAAGGAGAACCUAAACCUCACUGCUGUCAACUGCAGCUCUGAAAGCAGUGCAUCAUUGCUAACAAAACUCUGGUUGACAUAGAUACUGUUACCAUUCGAUCUUCCUCCUUCAAUCUUUUUGAUAUCUUCAAAACACAUAUCAUCAUCUUCCUCAUCCUCAUC
rnacentral:lncRNA from 1 species